GGGCGCGUAGCUUUAAGGGGAAAGCGGAGGAUUGUCUUCUGGUUUUUUCGGGGCGACUCCCCGAGAUUCCGCCAAUCCGGGUUCAACUCCCGGCGCGUCCACCA
rnacentral:tRNA from 1 species